UCCCAGUUAGUAUAGGGGCUAGUAUCACCCCCUGAAACAGGGUAGACCCAGGUUCAAUUUCCGGACUGGGAG